UGUGACCAAAGGGAUGCCCUGGGUACAG
rnacentral:piRNA from 1 species